UCUAUGGCUUCAUUUCAAUGGUUAUUUAAGCUGCUACGAUUUUUGAACCAAUGUUGGCUUCCCUGACAUCUGUCCAGUGGGGUGGUGUGAAAAAACCAAACAUGACUUAUACAUCCCUCAGGGUUAUGGAAAAGAUAAAUUUAUUUGGAUGGAUUGCUUGAAGGCAUGAAAAUUACAAAAUGCUCCCAAGAAAUGAUUCAGAAAUUAUUCAGAGUUCUGUGUGAUGUCAGUCGUCCUUUAGGUCCAGCCAGUUGGUUGGUGUUGGGAGCAUGGAAGAACUCUGAUAGGACCCCAAGGUUUUUAUGAAACCUGGAUGAAAUAUUAAUAAUAUGCAUAGAAUGCGUGUGUGUUCUUAGAACUACAGUUGUAUAUGCGAAAGUAGAACAGUCAUGUUUUAGAAAACGUUAGCAACACAUCUGAACUGUUGGAUUUCUCAUGACUUGUCGGUCUUGUAACAUCACAGCGAUUGUACCAUGGUUUUCUCCCGAAUGUGAAACUUGAAGUUGUGGAUAAGCAAAACCCCAGGUGAAUUUGCCUUGCUACAAUU